UACCAUAAAUCUAUAUAUACUAAAUCACAUAAUAUUUUGACAUCUGUCCUUCUACAAAUUAAACACAUGUCUAUCCUAUUUAAUGCUCCUAACUACCUGUUACAGGACAUAUAAAACACUAAAAAACCUAAAUUCAUUUUCCAAAUUCCCCUAAAUCUGGGAUAAUAUAUUCAAAAAUAGCAACUACAAUAAUAUUCAAAUUAUUUCAAACGGCUCAACCCCAAAGGAUAAACAUCCUGUAGCAAUCUAUCCCAACUAUUUAGGCCUUGGUGAUGGAGUUCCUGUGAAGGCUGAAGCUGGAUUAUACCUUCUCUCUGAGUCUCUGUUCUCCUUCUCUUUCUUCUACUCAAACAUAAGAAAACAUCUUUUUUAUAUUAUAGCACAGUGAGGAAUAAAGGUAAGAAAAUCAGAGCUAACUUUUCCAUUUGAUGGGUUCUUGUCUCAAUGCUCGAAUCAAAGCCGAGAGCCCCUUCAUAUGGGUAUAUAUGUUGAAAAUGUUCAGUUCUAUUAAAGUUAUGAUAUUCCAAGUUAUUGAAAAUGUUCAGUUCUAUUAAAGUUAUGUUCCAUUUAGAGUGUAAUGCACAAACGGGUAAAAUUUCAACACUAUCCUCUACAAUGUAUAUUCAUUUGUUUUUCUGUGUAAAAUUUGAUCAUCGCACAACAAUCUACUAUAUUCUUAUUAUAUUUUAAUUUAUUAAUUGUACGUAUACAUUUAUUAUUAAAAAAAUUAAAUAAUCCUAACGCAACACGCAGAUUUAUAUCUAGUAAAUAUACUAAAUCAAUCACUUAAGAAAGGACUUAAUUGGGAGAUUGACGAUGAGAAGAACUAAAAGGGGAAAUAUAAUUUACUUUUUAAGUUUUGUAUCAGUUUUUAACAGCUUUAGAGGGUUUUAUCACUGGAUUGGACUAUCUUAUUUGGUGGUAGAAAAUUUUAACUCUAAAAUACUCUUUAUUUUUUUGUUAUAAAAAAAUUAGUUUUAAAAUAUAUAUAUAUAUAUAUAUAUAUAUAUAUAUAUAUAUAUAUUUCUAAUUUUAAACGUGUUAUAAAAUUGGUAAAAAUAUGAUAUGGAUGCCUUUUGGCGGCUAUUCCUCUUUUCCCAUAAUAUAUGAAGACUUACUAUGUAUUGCCAUAAAUUUAAUAAAUAUAAAGUUUAUCAAUAAAUGUGAUUAAUAUAAAUUAUGAGAUGACCUCACUUAUUACAUAUCUCUCUAUAAGAAUUGUGGUUAAUAUUUAUCAACAUAAAUAAUAAUUAAAAAAUUAAUAUAAAUAUUCACAAUAUAUAUCAUUUUUCAAAUAAGGCAAAAAAUAGAGAAUUUCUAGAAGUCAAUAAUCAACGUAAGCUACUUUCAUUAUCAUUGACCAACUAAAAAAAAUUCCAAUCCUCUUUCGUGUUCUGGUUUCUUCUCCGGACUCUCAUUCCUUGGGGGUUCCAUUCCAUGCACUUACCCCACUUAUUGUCUGUUAUUGUGAGAAAUGGGUGUACAAAAAGCGUAUGAUCAGUCCAAUCUUGACUUUAGGUCCAACUUUUACAGCUUCAGGCCGGACUUGUAACCAGCCCAAUCCAGACCCUUUUAGGUCCAAAGAAGUUUGGACCUCGGGCUUUCUGUGCAUGCCGACACCACCCAAGCAUCCUAGCCAGCAAUAGCAUCACCCUCCUUUGUCCCUGUCCCCUGGCCCCUGUCCUCCCCUCCCCUCCCCUCCCCUCCCCUCCCCUUUUCAUAAUAAACCUAACUAACGUCCUAACCUACAAAAAUAAUUCAGUUUUUCGUUUAACCGACAUGAAUAAAACAAUGAUAAAUUUGAAAAUAUUGUCUCAUUUUAUGCUAUCAUCAAUUUUGAUUAUGAUAAUACCUGUGUUACUCGGACUCGUGUGCGGGUGUCGGGUGCGGGUACGAAUUUAAGUGUCGGACACGUGAAGUCAAAAAAUAGAGGAUACGCAGAUAUGGAUCCGAAUUUGAACACGAGUGCGGGGAUACGGUAUGUUAUAUUUUUUAACAAUAAUGUUUCAAAUUAUAUCACCAAAGUUUUUUUGCUCUAGGGACUGAAGUAUAAAAACAUAAAGAAAUAAGGGCAGAAAUGAAAAAAAACAAAACUGUAGGGACUGAUAUGUAGUUUUUCAUGGGAUAAUUUGAACUUUCAAAAAACCUGAGGGACUAAAUUAAAAUAUUUUAAAAACUAUGAGAUAUCUAAUUGUAAUUGUCCAUGGAUAUUUUAUAUCAAAUCUGAUCUCUCCCUCUUCUUUUUCUUCUCUUGACAUACGCUCUUCUUCUUCUUCUUCAUGGCUCUUCUUCCUCCUCGCGGCUCUUCUUCCCAAAAUAGCCGUAUCCGAAUUUAUGUGACCGAAUCCCGUACGAAUCCCGCACCGACACGACACGGGUACUCUACCAAAAAGUGGCGAGUCCGAGUAACACAGGAUAAUAUUAUUUAUCAGUAAUUUGUAAAAACUUAAUUCCCCAUUUUACUCGAUAAAAAGCACCUACACUAAAAUCAAAUAAGAAAAGGAAAAACAAAACUCUCAAAAGGGAAUUGGUGCUCUUUGCCGCUCUGUGAUAAGGACCCCCAGCUGAAAAUUUAGAUGGAAGGAGCACCAUAUAUAUAAUGUAAAAAGAUGUUCCUGGGGAUCAUGGCGGACCACCACAUAAUGACCAUAUCAGGCCAUGGUUUAGACAACUCAGUUUCUCAGACGACAAGUUUCAUCAGCUUAACCAAUUUUUAAACUAACAUCCAUCUCAUAUAUACUUGUUUUUUAAUUUUGACAAGUUGGCAAGUAUUUCAUACCUUUGAAAAUCAAGCAACCCUUUUGUGGAAUCUGAUCUUAAAGCUGAUCUUUAUACCCAGCUUAACUUGGCCGCCUUUCCUUCCUUUCUUCCUAACUAACUAUUAAAUGCCUUAACUUCCAGCCAGAUUCUUUUGCUUCUAAUACAAGCCUUCUUUUUUGUUGAAAGCACGGACGGGAG
rnacentral:lncRNA from 1 species